rnacentral:misc_RNA from 1 species
UCAAACUUGGUCUUUAGAGGAAGUAAAAGUCGUAACAAGGUUUCCGUAGGUGAACCUGCGGAAGGAUCAUUAACAAAUCUUUCAUAUUAACCUGUUGCAUUGUCCGUGGAUGCUGCGCGCUAAUGUGUAGAGCAUCGGCGCGUCGGCAAAGCGGGUUGAGGUAUGUGUGCGGGUGCACUAAACAACUUGAUGAUGCAUCACAUCAACAAGCUGUGGCGUGCUCUCGUGCGUAGCCUCUCACAUUAACGCGUCUAAUUGUUGUUUAUUUGUUGCCUAAUGCGAACAUGUACAACUAUUAACAGUGGAUCUCUUGGCUCCCGCAUCGAUGAAGAACGCAGC